AUGGCACGAAAAGGAAAUCCAAUUUCGGUAAGACUUGAUCUGAAUCGUAGUUCAGAUCCAAGUCGGUUCAAUGUCAAUCUUAGAUCUUAUUUUAGUUCGAUACGUCCACCUACGAAACUCGCCCUUGGCUUUCGUCUCGGUAGGUGUAUUAUUCUACAUUUUCCCAAAAGGACAUUCAUUCAUUUCUUUCUUCCCGGGCGAUCACCACGACUAAAACGAAAAAAAGACAAGAAAUCAAGACCCGUACUACAGGAAAAGGGCUGGUGGCCGACAUUUGGGAAAGUCGGGCCGAUCGGGUGUCUUCAUUCAAGCGAGGGUACAGAGGAAGAACGAAACGAAGUGAGAGGCCGGGGGGCAGGGAAAAGAGUCCAGUCGAUCGACCGGGAGAAGCAAAACGAAAUCCGGAUUUGGCCGAAAAAGAUGCAACGUUAUGGAUACCAUGACCGAUCACCAUCGAGAAAGAAGAAUUUUGAUAAAUCACUUCGGGUGAGCGGGGCCUUCAAGCGGCCUCAAUACACCGGGGUUGUAAAUGACAUACCUUUCCUUUCCCGCUCUGACGGCCCGACGAGUGAUAUACUAAAAAGGACCCUCCCCGCUGUGCGCCCCUCCUUGAAUUAUUCGGUCAUGCAAUACUUUUUAAUACUCAGAAUAAAAUGCAUUUCAACCCCGUCCUAG
rnacentral:rRNA from 1 species